rnacentral:rRNA from 1 species
AUGGGGCUGGAGAUGGCGCCGGUGGAAGCGGAGAGAUCGCCGGAGCAGCCGGAGCUGCAGAUUUACCCGCUGUGCCGCUACUACUUCGGCGCCAGGGACGCCCGGCCAUGCGCCGGCGAGACUGCCGCCGACCGCGCUCUCCGCCUCAAGGCCAACUUCGCCGCUCGCGGGCUCCGGACCAGGGGCGGACCUACGUAUACCCAACCGGUGUCACAGGACACCGGCAUUGCACUGGGACACCGGGACAAUUUUGUCCUAGGUCCGCCCCUGCUCCGGACCUGCGUCCAUGGCGUCCUGCUGGUCGAGCUGUCGGGUCACCCGCACGUGCUGCUCCUGCAAGUCAGGAACUCCUCCUUCCUCCUCCCGGGCGGCCGCCUCAGGCCUGCCGAGCAAGAUGUCCAAGGCCUGAAACGCAAGCUUUCCAGCAAGCUAGCCGCUGCGGAUCCAAACGGCGACCACCACUGGCAGAUCGGGGAGUGCAUUGGCAUGUGGUGGAGAUCAGAAUUCGAGGCCAGGCCAGUUCCAUAUCCGCCUCCAAGCACUCGUGCACCCAAGGAAUGCGUGAAGCUGUUCUUGGUUAGGCUGCCCAUGGCUCGCCAGUUCGUCGUGCCGAGGAACCUCAAGCUCCUAGCCGUGCCUCUGUCCCAGAUUCACGACAAUGCUCAGGUGUAUGGCCCAAUCAUAUCUGGAAUUCCGAAUCUGCUCUCCAAGUUCUCCUUCAACGUUGUAAGGAACUGA